GACAGAGGGGGCAAGCGUUGCUCGGAAUUACUGGGCGUAAAGGGCGCGUAGGCGGGUUGGCGAGUCGGUCGUGAAAUCUCUCGGCUCAACCGAGGAACGUCGAUCGAUACUGCUGUUCUUGAGGAUUGCAGAGGAGACUGGAAUUCCCGGUGUAGCGGUGAAAUGUGUAGAGAUCGGGAGGAACACCGGUGGCGAAGGCGGGUCUCUGGGCAAUUCCUGACGCUGAGGCGCGAAAGCGUGGGGAGCAAACGGG
rnacentral:rRNA from 1 species